rnacentral:rRNA from 1 species
AUUGAACGCUGGCGGCAUGCCUUACACAUGCAAGUCGAACGGUAACGGGCCUUCGGGUGCCGACGAGUGGCGAACGGGUGAGUAAUGUAUCGGAGCGUACCUUUCAGUGGGGAAUAACGUAGCGAAAGUUACGCUAAUACCGCAUAUUCUGUGAGCAGGAAAGCAGGGGAUCGCAAGACCUUGCGCUGAUUGAGCGGCCGAUAUCAGAUUAGCUAGUUGGUGAGGUAAAGGCUCACCAAGGCGACGAUCUGUAGCGGGUCUGAGAGGAUGAUCCGCCACACUGGAACUGAGACACGGUCCAGACUCCUACGGGGGGCGGCAGUGGGGAAUUUUGGACAAUGGGGGCAACCCUGAUCCAGCCAUGCCGCGUGAGUGAAGAAGGCCUUCGGGUUGUAAAGCUCUUUCGGCCGGGAAGAAAUCGUAUCAGCUAAUACCUGGUGCGGAUGACGGUACCGGCAUAAGAAGCACCGGCUAACUACGUGCCAGCAGCCGCCGUAACAC